UACGGAGGGUGCAAGCGUUAUCCGGAUUCACUGGGUUUAAAGGGUGCGUAGGAGGGCAGGUAAGUCAGUGGUGAAAUCUCCAAGCUUAACUUGGAAACUGCCGUUGAUACUAUCUGUCUUGAACAUUGUGGAGGUGAGCGGAAUAUGUCAUGUAGCGGUGAAAUGCUUAGAUAUGACAUAGAACACCAAUUGCGAAGGCAGCUCACUACACAAUCAUUGACUCUGAGGCACGAAAGCGUGGGGAUCAAACAGG
rnacentral:rRNA from 1 species